rnacentral:rRNA from 1 species
UACGUAGGGCGCAAGCGUUGUCCGGCAUUAUUGGGCGUAAAGAGCUCGUAGGCGGCUUGUCACGCCGGGUGUGAAAGCCCGGGGCUUAACCCCGGGUCUGCAUUCGAUACGGGCUAGCUAGAGUGUGGUAGGGGAGAUCGGAAUUCCUGGUGUAGCGGUGAAAUGCGCAGAUAUCAGGAGGAACACCGGUGGCGAAGACGGAUCUCUGGGCCAUUACUGACGCUGAGGAGCGAAAGCGUGGGGAGCGAACAGG